AGGACUACUUCACCUUGGACUGGAAUCUCUAGAACUGUGAGCCAAAAUAAACACUUUCUUUUUACACAUUAAUUGUCUCCAGUGUUUCAUCAGAGUGAUGGGAACUAAUACAGAAGACAAAUACAAUAAAUCCUGUUGUCUUUACCAGUUGAGACUUUCAACAGUAAAAGCAAAGCAGCAAGUGCCAAAUACCCCUGUACUCUUUUGGAUCAAGGUCAAGAACACUCACUCAGCGUGUAAACAAUGGGUAACACCAAGCUGCUGUACAGCUUGUAUUGUACAGCUGCUGUGGACUGAGUUGUAUUUCCCAGGAAUUUAUAUGUUGGAGCCCUAACCAACUGUCUGUUCUUUUGCUACUCCUGUGGUGUUUUUUAUGGCAGUCCCAGGCAACUAAUGUACCUCCCCGGCACACAGCUCUGGCAGGAUGAACCACAGUAGAACAGAAAUCCAGGCAUGGCCCCACUCCUAUUACAGGUGACCCAGAGACAGAAAGGAGUAUUUCUGUGAAGAGACACCAUGACCAAGACCCACCCCUGUGACACCGAAGACACAGUCUCACUAUGCAACCCAUGUUGGACAUGAACUCACAACCCUGCUUCAGCCUCCCAAAGGCUGGAGUUAGAGGCAUGAGCCUUCCAGUCCAGUUUAUAUUCCUGCUUUCUUCUUGUUUGGAGGAGACAUGGACAGAAAGGAUCUCAGAGGAGGACAAAGGAGAGACUAACAGUGAGAGGCGAACAAUGUGAGGGACUGGGCUGAUAGGAACUCAAGGGUCAUCACAAUGCAGCCGAGAAGAUACAUGUGAUAAAGUCAUGAUGUCUAGUUUGGCAUUAUUGGAAAGGAGGUAAAGCCUGGGGAAGAAGGCUUUAAGUCAUUGGGAACAUGCCUUCUGAAGAGAUGGUGGGACACAAAUCUCCUGUCUGCUUCUCUCUGUUUCUCCCUGUGGAUGUUUCUCUUCUCCAUAUCUCCAACCCCAGCCACUUUUAUAUAUCAGGGUCAAGGACAUUUUCAGGAUUCAUUUCAACUCAUCAUGCUCACAGUUCAGUGAUGUCAUCGUCUUCAAGAGCUUUAAGUAAAUAGGACUCUGACAGUCAAGGGUCAUAAAUCUGCAGUUGCCUUUCCUGCCUUGCAUCUCUGGAGAACUCUCACCUGCUAGAAUAAACGAUAAUGAAUGUAACCAAG
rnacentral:lncRNA from 1 species